rnacentral:rRNA from 1 species
CACGUAGGGCGCAAGCGUUGUCCGGAAUUAUUGGGCGUAAAGAGCUCGUAGGCGGUUUGUCGCGUCUGCUGUGAAAACCUAAGGCUCAACCUUGGGCUUGCAGUGGGUACGGGCGGACUAGAGUGCGGUAGGGGUGACUGGAAUUCCUGGUGUAGCGGUGGAAUGCGCAGAUAUCAGGAGGAACACCGAUGGCGAAGGCAGGUCACUGGGCCGCAACUGACGCUGAGGAGCGAAAGCAUGGGGAGCGAACAGG